rnacentral:rRNA from 1 species
UGGGGAAUAUUGCACAAUGGGGGAAACCCUGAUGCAGCGACGCCGCGUGAACGAAGAAGGUAUUCGUAUCGUAAAGUUCUGUCCUAUGGGAAGAUAAUGACAGUACCAUAGAAGAAAGCUCCGGCUAAAUACGUGCCAGCAGCCGCGGUAAUACGUAUGGAGCGAGCGUUGUCCGGAAUUAUUGGGCGUAAAGGGUACGCAGGCGGUUUAAUAAGUCGAAUGUUAAAGAUCGGGGCUCAACCCCGCAAAGCAUUGGAAACUGAUAAACUUGAGUAGUGGAGAGGAAAGUGGAAUUCCUAGUGUAGUGGUGAAAUACGUAGAUAUUAGGAGGAAUACCAGUAGCGAAGGCGACUUUCUGGACACAAACUGACGCUGAGGUACGAAAGCGUGGGGAGCAAACAG